GGCGUGCUCAGCCUUACAAAGGAGGCAGAACACCCUGAGCAUUCCUAGGCAUCAGUCAGAGGCAGGCGAGGUCUCUCCAAGCCCCUGGGGCCACAUGCUGAGCCAGAAGAGUGAGCACCAAACGGAUGGGGCGGAUUCCAGGCACUGAUGAGGACAUGUUUUCCAGUGGGCAGGGCCACUGUGCCUACAGUUCUCUCCUACCUGAGCCCCACAUGGGUGAAGAGGCUGAGGAUCAGAACCCCUUGAUGACUACGUCACCAUGAUGCAAUUAUCCCUCUGGCUUAGUGGUACUCGGUGGCAAUAUUUGGGCUUUUAAAGACUGUGGUGAGGGGGCUGGGGUUGUGGCUCAGCGGUAGAGCGCUUGCUUCACACAUGCAAGGCCCCUGGGUUCGAUCCUCAGCAC
rnacentral:lncRNA from 1 species